GUCUUUUUGAAUUUAAUUUAAAGUCUAACCUGCCCAUUGAUAAUUAUUUUAAAAGGCCGCGGUAUUUUGACCGUGCAAAGGUAGCAUAAUCAUUAGUUUUUUAAUUGAAAGCUUGUAUGAAGGGUUGAAUGAAACAUUAACUGUCUCAUAAAAAAUUUAUUAAAAUUUUAUUUUUUAGUUAAAAAGCUAAAAUUUAAUUAGAGGACGAGAAGACCCUAUAGAGUUUAAUAAUUUUAUUAAUUUUAAUAUUUAAUUAAUAAUAAUAAAUUAUAGUUUAAAAAUAAAUUAUUUUAUUGGGGAGAUAAUAAAAUUUAAAAAACUUUUAUAUAAAUUUUACAAAAAUUAUUGAAUAUUUGAUCCUAUUAUAUAGAUUAAAAAUUUAAAUUACCUUAGGGAUAACAGCAUAAUUUUUUUAUAAAGUUCUUAUUUAUAAAAAAGAUUGUGACCUCGAUGUUGGAUUAAAAUUAAUUUUAGGUGUAGAAGCUUAAUAUAUUAAGUCUGUUCGACUUUUAAUAUUUU
rnacentral:rRNA from 1 species